rnacentral:rRNA from 1 species
GACGAACGCUGGCGGCGUGCCUAAUACAUGCAAGUCGAACGCUUCUUUCCUCCCGAGUGCUUGCACUCAAUUGGAAAGAGGAGUGGCGGACGGGUGAGUAACACGUGGGUAACCUACCCCUCAGAGGGGGAUAACACUUGGAAACAGGUGCUAAUACCGCAUAACAGUUUAUGCCGCAUGGCAUAAGAGUGAAAGGCGCUUUCGGGUGUCGCUGAUGGAUGGACCCGCGGUGCAUUAGCUAGUUGGUGAGGUAACGGCUCACCAAGGCCACGAUGCAUAGCCGACCUGAGAGGGUGAUCGGCCACACUGGGACUGAGACACGGCCCAGACUCCUACGGGAGGCAGCAGUAGGGAAUCUUCGGCAAUGGACGAAAGUCUGACCGAGCAACGCCGCGUGAGUGAAGAAGGUUUUCGGAUCGUAAAACUCUGUUGUUAGAGAAGAACAAGGACGUUAGUAACUGAACGUCCCCUGACGGUAUCUAACCAGAAAGCCACGGCUAACUACGUG